rnacentral:rRNA from 1 species
GGCCUGGCAAUCCGGUCCGCCUAUUCGGUGAGUACUGGUGUUGCUGGGUCUUUACCUUCUGGAGAACUGCGAUGCACUUAAUUGUGUGUCGUAGGGAACCAGGACUUUUACCUUGAAAAAAUUAGAGUGUUUAAAGCAGGCAUUUGCUUGAAUACAUUAGCAUGGAAUAAUGGAAUAGGACAUUGGUUCUAUUUUGUUGGUUUCUAGGACCGAUGUA